AGCCGAGUGGCCUAGUGGUAAGGCGCCAGUUUUCGGGUAAACUUUAUUCCGUUCCGUUGGAGUAAGGUAUUGCUUAUUAUCACAUGCACUGGAGAUCGCGGGUUCGAAUCCCGUCUCGGUUG